AUUGAACGCUGGCGGCAUGCCUUACACAUGCAAGUCGAACGGUAACGGGCCUUCGGGUGCCGACGAGUGGCGAACGGGUGAGUAAUGCAUCGGAACGUACCUUUCAGUGGGGGAUAACGUAGCGAAAGUUACGCUAAUACCGCAUAUUCUGUGAGCAGGGAAGCAGGGGAUCGCAAGACCUUGCGCUGAUUGAGCGGCCGAUGUCAGAUUAGCUAGUUGGUGAGGUAAAGGCUCACCAAGGCGACGAUCUGUAGCGGGUCUGAGAGGAUGAUCCGCCACACUGGGAAUGGAACACGGCCCAGACUCCUACGGGAGGCAGCAGUGGGGAAUUUUGGACAAUGGGGGCAACCCUGAUCCAGCCAUGCCGCGUGAGUGAAGAAGGCCUUCGGGUUGUAAAGCACUUUAAGCGAGGAGGAGGCUACUUGGAUUAAUACUCUGGGAUAGUGGACGUUACUCGCAGAAUAAGCACCGGCUAACUCUGUGCCAGCAGCCGCUGUAACAC
rnacentral:rRNA from 1 species